rnacentral:snRNA from 1 species
UGGCUUCAGCAGCACAUAUACUACAAUUGGAACGAUACAGAGAUUAGCAUGGCCCCUGUACAAGAAUGACAUGCAAACUCAUAAAGCCUUCUGUAUUUCA